rnacentral:rRNA from 1 species
AUACGGAGGGUGCAAGCGUUAUUCGGAAUCACUGGGCGUAAAGGACGCGUAGGCGGGUUGGCAAGUCAGAUGUGAAAUCCUACAGCUUAACUGUAGAACUGCAUUUGAAACUGCUAACCUAGAGUAUGGGAGGGGGAGAUGGAAUUAGUGGUGUAGGGGUUAAAUCCGUAGAUAUCACUAGGAAUACCGAAAGCGAAGGCGAUCUCCUGGAACAUAACUGACGCUAAGGCGUGAAAGCGUGGGGAGCAAACAGGAUUAGAAACCCUAGUAGUCC